GACGAACGCUGGCGGCGUGCUUAACACAUGCAAGUCGAACGGUAAGGCCCUACGGGGUACGCGAGAGGCAAACGGGUGAGUAACACGUGGGUGAUCUGCCCUGCACUUCGGGAUAAGCAUGGGAAACUGGGUCUAAUCCCGGACAGGACCACUGCCUGCAUGGGUGGGGGGAAGCUUCUGCGGUGUGGGAUGGGCCCGCGGCCUAUCAGCUUGUUGGUGGGGUGAUGGCCUACCAAGGCGACGACGGGUAGCCGGCCUGAGAGGGUGACCGGCCACACUGGGACUGAGAUACGGCCCAGACUCCUACGGGAGGCAGCAGUGGGGAAUAUUGCACAAUGGGCGCAAGCCUGAUGCAGCGACGCCGCGUGAGGGAUGACGGCCUUCGGGUUGUAAACCUCUUACAGCACCGACGAAGCGCAAGUGACGGUAGGUGCAGAAGAAGGACCGGCCAACUACGUGCCAGCCGCCGCCGUAA
rnacentral:rRNA from 1 species